rnacentral:lncRNA from 1 species
GGGGGGGCAGACAUCACCUGCCCAGAUGGCCAGAGAUGGUAAGGCCUCAUCUCUGAUCAGCUGAAAAUCUGGGCCUCACUCUGGCCAACAAACCUAAGAAUGGAAAGUUCCUUUAAUUAAAGAAGAUCCUCCAAAAGGAAUAACAAUAUCAUUUGGUGGACCAGACCAGAUUUUGGACCAGUGGACAAUAUCAGAAGGAAUCUGAUGUAAACUCAAUGUAGAUACUGGGAGCAGGUCUCUCCUGUGUGGUGUCAAGGAAGACUCCAAGAAAUUUCAUUUGUCUUCAUUUUAUGUUACCAUCCAUGAAUGCCAGCAGAAAAAGGAAUUUUGAGAAAACAAAUGAAACAAAA